rnacentral:rRNA from 1 species
CGGAUUAGCUGGUUGGUGAGGUAAUGGCUCACCAAGGCGACGAUCCGUAGCUGGUCUGAGAGGAUGAUCAGCCACAUCGGGACUGAGACACGGCCCGUCCUCCUACGGGAGGCAGCAGUGGGGAAUAUUGGACAAUGGGGGCAACCCUGAUCCAGCCAUGCCGCGUGUGUGAAGAAGGCCUUCGGGUUGUAAAGCACUUUCAGUGGGGAAGAAAGCCUACCGGUCAAUACCCGGGAGGAAGGACAUCACCCACAGAAGAAGCACCGGCUAACUCCGUGCCAGCAGCCGCGGUAAUACGGAGGGUGCGAGCGUUAAUCGGAAUUACUGGGCGUAAAGCGCGCGUAGGUGGCUUGAUAAGCCGGUUGUGAAAGACCCGGGCUCAACCUGGGAACGGCAUCCGGAACUGUCAGGCUAGAGUGCAGGAGAGGAAGGUAGAAUUCCCGGUGUAGCGGUGAAAUGCGUAGAGAUCGGGAGGAAUACCAGUGGCGAAGGCGGCCUUCUGGACUGACACUGACACUGAGGUGCGAAAGCGUGGGUAGCAAACAGGAUUAGAUACCCUGGUAGUCCACGCCGUAAACGAUGUCGACUAGCCGUUGGGUC